AAGUCGUAACAAGGUUUCCGUAGGUGAACCUGCGGAAGGAUCAUUAAUAAAUGGCGAAGCUCGCAAGAGCCUAGCUUUAUAUUAUUCCAUCAACACCUGUGAACUAUUUGCCUUCUUGUCAUGAGAAGGUACAAAACCUUACAAACAUAACUGUAACGAAUGUAAUCUAUUAUAAUAAUAAUACAACUUUCAACAACGGAUCUCUUGGCUCUC
rnacentral:misc_RNA from 1 species